CUACACUUUUAAUGAUGCAAUAUAGGGAAGUUGACACAUGUGUUCCUUGGAACAAGUUAUAUUAUUCUGUACAUUUUUAAUGAAAAGAAAAGAGCAUUAGAUAUGGCAUUUAAUAAUAAGAACAGAAAUUUCCUUGGACAGAAAUUGGGAAGGCUUGGCAGGUUUAUUGGUAAAAAUUGGAACAUUGAAUACAUUAUUUUUUUUUUAGCUCACCUGAGCUGAAAACUCAGCUAAGCAUCUGAAGUAUUGUGAUGAGGUUUUGAAGAUUUGAAAUUGUAAAAAUCAUGACCUGUAUGGGAUAAGAGAUUUUUUUUUUCAAAAUCUUCUAAAGAACCACUAGACCAGGAACAUAAAACUUAAUAGAAAGCUGCCUGAGGUAGUGUAGAUUUUAAUCUGUUUCAAUAACGCAUUGCCCCCAGGAGUAGGGCGGGUCCACAAUAGGGGAUCAAAGUUUUGCAUGGAACUAUUUUAAUUUUUUUCUAAAAGAAAAGUAACACAUGAGAACCAUUAAUUUACAAACAUUCCCAAUUUCUUUAGACUUUUUCUUAAAAUUAUGAACAACAGGUUAGAGUUAAAAGUAAUUUGCAUCAUCAACUAAAUGUUUUAAUAUUUUCAGCUAUGGAAUGGAUUCUGCAGUCAGAGCCACAUGGGCACCAGAUCCCUCUUGCUUCUAUUACAGAGGAUCUUUGACCAGUCUGAUAGUUAUUCAAGUUGAUGCUCCACUUGUCUGGUAAUGCUAUGCAAGGAUUCCGUCCAAAUACUGCAGAGGCAACAAAAGGGCAUUGAACAAAUCCUAUUUGGGAAGUCAUGAGGAAACAAAGGAUAACUGUCUCCAACAUUGGAGCUGUGCUUAAUCUCAAGUGAAAAUGGAAUUUGGCUUGAUGAAUUGAUUUAAUGCGUCAGGUGUUUCACAUGAUAGUUUAGUUUUGCAUCCUCCUCUUUGUGAAGUAUCUUACCAGACUCCAUAUGCUAGGAAAGCAAUUUCCAAGUUCGUGAAAGUCAAGUGUACCUACUCUGCUGCAUCAUUAACAGCUAAAAAUGCAGUCCAUUAUCUUAAGGAUUUAUACUUAGAAUACAAGGAAUUUUUUACAUCUGAAAACUGAUCGUGCCUACUAUCAUCAGAUUCAAGGUCAACACGUGUAACAAGAACCGUUGCAUCCUCAUCGUUUGGACCCCGGUCAACAUUGUCUUUAUAAGAAUUGUGCAUGAUAAGGAAUGAGCAAAAUGUAUUGCACUGCUAUCAAUUUUUACUACAGUACCUUUAUUCCAUCCUCGCAAGCCAGGGGUCCUGAGUCAACACGUUGGCGUUGGACCCCUGGCAUAUUUCAUUCAAUAUUUGUGAGCUGACUGUGGGGACAUCUUUCGGAAAAAUUACAAAUCUUGAUUGUUUUUCUUAUCUCUCAACCAAUCACAGUAAGCCGUUCUAUGAUAAACAACUUGUAACACGUGCAUUUGAGGUGUCAACUGAAUCCUUAUCUAACUAUUUAUGAAAGCUUUAUUGAAUGAAAUAUGCCAGGGGUCCAACGGCAACGUGUUGACUCAGGACGCCUGGCUUUCGAGGAUGCCUUUAUUCCUGCACCAAGAGAAAUCUAAAAACUUUGACAAACCAUGUUGGUCUCUGUUCUGUUCAGUAAUUCAUAUGACAUGUAAAUUGGAGAUAAAGUGUAACAUAAUAAAAAAAAUUCAAUUUA